GAUCUAUCAGUAAAAGUUACCUUCGAUGGGAAGUUUUACUUAAUCUAAUCUAUACAAGACAAUUUAUAAUCCAUGCCUCGCCUACACCCCAUACAUUAAAUAAUAGUUUCCAUUCCAUGCCAUGCCCAGACCCAUGAGUUCAUGAAAUAAUAAAUGAUGUGGUGUCUCAAUAUGGAUCUAUCCCCUGAAAUUCAGCACUUUAAUAUAAAACUCACAUAUCUAGUUAAUUAUUUGCUAUGACACACUGAUCAACUUGGACUUGUGUGAUACAUAUAUGUUUCUUAUCAGAUUUAAUGAAGGAAGUUUUGGUGCAUUUUAACCAGUAAUAAGGCUACAAAAGUAUCAUCAGGUGUAUUCUAACCAUUGGUAUUUUUCCUGGCAACAUUUCUUUUCUAGUCUGUGAUAAAUUAUAAAUAAAAAAAAAUGUUUGUAAUGUUUCAGUUAUUAACAAGUAGAACCAUGCCAACCAGUUUUGAUGAUGUACCAGAAUGGCUCAAGGAUCAUACUUAUACUAUUUCUACUCUCUGGGCAGACAUUAAUAAUAUUGGCAUCCAUUCAAUAUUUAUUUUAUGUUUGGAAAUGCAAGAAAAAGGCAUGCAUUCCUGACAAGUCAAUGAUUGGUUGCACCUCUUAAAGAUAAAUUUCUGUUAUGAGAAAAGAUGAGAUUCUUGGACUCCUGCAUAGCACCACCAGAAAGGAAAAUCCCAUCAUGUUGCAAAAUAAAAGUCUUGGACCAAUUUUAAUUUAAGAUAUAUAUAUAUUAUACUGUAAGCUCUAUACAUAUUUAUGUAUAUCCUGUCAUUCAGCCAACAGGUUUGGAAUUAGUAUUUCUUUAAAUCUGUUUGAUAUUGUACUUGAAAACUAUUAAUCUGAGCCCCAUUAAAACAAUAGGGAGUGCAGUGAAUGAGUGGUAAAGCACUUGGCUUCUGAACUGAGGGUUCCUGGGUUCGAUUAAGACUGGGAUUUUCAAUUUCAGAAUUCAAAAGGCUAGGGAUACAUGGCAAUAGUAAGGAAUAAGUAAAGGCAGUUUGGGGAUCCAUGGCUGAAUGGUUAAGUCAUGGGUUUGAAUCUCUGAAGACUCAGAUUUAAAUUUUUUAGUCCACCUAACUCUACUGGGUAGCUGACUUUCGUUUUGGAAAGUAAAGAUGGUUGGUUGUUGUGCUGGCCACAUGAUGCACUGGCCAAAGAAUCAAAUGACCUUAACAUCAUCUGCCCUAUAGAUUGUGAGGUCUGAAAUGGGAUUUUUUUUCAAAAGGUGGUUGGUUGUUGUGCAUGGUACAUGACACCCUCGCUAACCAUGGGGCACAGAAACUGAUAAACUUUAUCAUCUACCCCAUAGAUUGCAAGAUAUGUAAGGGAAAUUUUACUUUUUAAAAAUUAAAAUAAGAAUCUAACAAAAGUAAACAUAUAAAAUAUGGUGCAUUCUCCUUAAAACUAAAACCUGGUGCGAAGGUUUAAAAUGUUAGCAUAAAAAAGCAACAUCAUAUAUUCUUAAUUCCCUUUGCAAAACUUACUGACAAGAACAUGCAUGUUGUUCCCUCAUAAGUUUCUUGACAGAGAAAAUCUUGGUUAUAUUAGAUUUGAAUUAAGCAAAUUAAGAAAACAAUUAUAAUCAUUAUUUCAAAUGGUUGUAUCUAAACCUUAUGAAUUAUUUUUCAGUUAUAAGUAUAUUGAGAUGAAUGGAUAAUCAUGAAAUAGUUAAAUAAUUGCUGCUAUCAUUCCAUUGACUAAAGAACCAUACAAAUUAUUUUUUUUUUUAAUUAAUUUCAAAAUGAUUUUUUUCAAGCAUAGAGUGCACAUAGAUCUUGAGUGAAAAUAUUUUUUUUAUUUGACUAAUGCUUCAAUUUUAUUGUAUCAUAUUAGUUUUUAAUUUUUAUUACCCAGAAUAUUUCAAAAAUGAGUACACUAUUUUCAUGUAAUAAUGUAACUUGGUAUUCACACAAUGCUCAAAAUACACUAUAAUCUUUAGGCCAUACAGAUUUGUAUAAAUUAACUUGUUUAAAUACAUUGUAAAUGUAUAUUGUUUGGAUAAGAAUAAAGUUUUUCUGUAGACAAUUAUGAUUCAGGAUUUGUUGAUGCUCCUGCUUAAU